rnacentral:pre_miRNA from 1 species
CCUUUGUUAGGAAGGGUGUAGGGGAGAGGCUGCCUCAAGUCGUGUUUGUCUCACAUUGUGUCUAUAAACAUGCAACACUUGUUUCCCGCAAGCAACAGAGGGA